UACGUAGGGACCAAGCGUUGUUCGGAUUUACUGGGCGUAAAGGGCGCGUAGGCGGCUUAAUAAGUCACUUGUGAAAUCUCCGGGCUUAACUCGGAACGGCCAAGUGAAACUGUCAAGCUAGAGUGCAGAAGGGGCAAUCGGAAUUCUUGGUGUAGCGGUGAAAUGCGUAGAUAUCAAGAGGAACACCUGAGGCGAAGGCGGGUUGCUAGGCUGACACUGACGCUGAGUGCGCGAAAGCCAGGGGAGCAAACGGG
rnacentral:rRNA from 1 species